rnacentral:rRNA from 1 species
CGGGAAUAUUGCGCAAUGGAGGAAACUCUGACGCAGUGACGCCGCGUGCAGGAAGAAGGUUUUCGGAUUGUAAACUGCUUUAGACAGGGAAGAAAAAAGACAGUACCUGUAGAAUAAGCUCCGGCUAACUACGUGCCAGCAGCCGCGGUAAUACGUAGGGAGCGAGCGUUAUCCGGAUUUAUUGGGUGUAAAGGGUGCGUAGACGGGAAAUUAAGUUAGUUGUGAAAUCCCACGGCUCAACUGUGGAACUGCAACUAAAACUGAUUUUCUUGAGUACUGGAGAGGAAAGUGGAAUUCCUAGUGUAGCGGUGAAAUGCGUAGAUAUUAGGAGGAACACCAGUGGCGAAGGCGACUUUCUGGACAGAAACUGACGUUGAGGCACGAAAGUGUGGGGAGCAAAC